GGAAAUAGUGACACAGACACUGUAAAAUACAUCUACUUCAGGGGGACAUUUGAAACAAGAUUCCUCAGAAUAUAUCCUAAAGACUAUAACACACCAGGGCAUAGGUGUCUCAGAUUUGAAGUAUACGGGUGCAGUGACAAUACUGUUUGCUCCCGUUUCUUCGAGUGGCCCUUUUUCCUGAAAUCUCUUGACCUGUCAAAUGAAGGAGGGGUGGAAAUUGGGUCAGAUGUCAACUAUCAAGCCUGUCAAGUUGUUCCCGGGAGAACAGCAUAUCUUGAUUAUCAACUGGAAAACAAGUGGGCGCGGGUAUAUCCAGAAAUCUUUAAAGUGGAAAGAGUACAAGGAAAACUAGUUUUCAAGGUUUUGUAUCCAUGUUUUUUAGAGGGAUAAAAGCAUGCAGGUCAGGAGCUCAGAAAUAUUUAUUUAUUACCAGCAGCCUCCAAUCCAACCUGACCCUAACCUGAUAGCUCUUAGCCCACCUUUCAUAUUCACAUGUAAAAAACUGCUGAAGGGUUCAAAUUUGCAUCAGACCCUAUGGGCCAAUACGUCAAUUUUGAAACUGAGUUAAUGUGCAUGAGGUCUCCCGAGAAUAUAUUAUAAUCUCUUGGAAGUCUUUAAAGAAUUGGAAUAUGUCUGCGAUCUUUGCGAAGCUAAAAAUGGUUCUUAAUUGCUGGAUUGGAUUUUUUUUUCUAAGAAAAGCAUUGGAACAAUGUUUUCUUGGAUCAACUGGUGAAUAUUCAAUUUUUGGCAUAACCUUCGACUUCUGGUGUUAUUUUCACAGCUUGUGUUAAUCAAUUUUGUUUCUUGCUCAUUUUUCUUUAAAUUCUGAAGUGGGUGAAUAAUGGUACUGACAAGAACCUUUCAGGCAGAAUCGUUCGGGUAGUGAUCAAUUGCAGUUAUUCAGCAUCUGCAUCUCGACCACCCAAGACUGCUUGCCUGAUUUUCAAGUCCUCAGGGCAGAUCACUUACGUUACUGAUGAUUUGAAUGACAAGUCACUGACGAAGCCAGGUUUUGUGGCAAAGACAACACCACAUAUUUCUCCAAUCACCAAGACAACUUCAGUGACAGAAUCUAUCAACGACACAGGCAAAAAUUACGCAGGAAAAAAUGGGAAUUACAGUGGAUCUGUUGUCGUGAUUGGCGUUGCAGUGGGAUGUGCACUUGUGUUUGGAAUCUUAAUCAUCGUCCUUGUUGUAUUUUGCAAGCGAAGGAAAUUGGAAAACAACCAGCAAGAAACAAAGUCAGCAGUUAGGAACCCAGUGGUUGAGAAUCAAAAGGACAGAGAAAUGGAAGAUGUCUCAACCUUCAGUGAACAAGCCGGUCAAUCAACGUACCAAAGUCUUGUUACCAAUACUGGUAA